CCAAUUGGACCUCAUGCCUUCAUUGGUCAUUCAAGUGGGGCAAAGGAAAUAACCUUUUAAAACUCAGGCAAACUUAGGUGUUUGUCUUAUAACCUGUCAGGGAAAACAUUG
rnacentral:snoRNA from 1 species